UUGAACGCUGGCGGCAGGCCCAACACAUGCAAGUCGAGCGGAUGAAGGGAGCUUGCUCCUGGAUUCAGCGGCGGACGGGUGAGUAAUGCCUAGGAAUCUGCCUGGUAGUGGGGGAUAACGUCCGGAAACGGGCGCUAAUACCGCAUACGUCCUGAGGGAGAAAGUGGGGGAUCUUCGGACCUCACGCUAUCAGAUGAGCCUAGGUCGGAUUAGCUAGUUGGUGGGGUAAAGGCCUACCAAGGCGACGAUCCGUAACUGGUCUGAGAGGAUGAUCAGUCACACUGGAACUGAGACACGGUCCAGACCCCUACGGGAGGCAGCAGUGGGGAAUAUUGGACAAUGGGCGAAAGCCUGAUCCAGCCAUGCCGCGUGUGUGAAGAAGGUCUUCGGAUUGUAAAGCACUUUAAGUUGGGAGGAAGGGCAGUAAGUUAAUACCUUGCUGUUUUGACGUUACCAACAGAAUAAGCACCGGCUAACUUCGUG
rnacentral:rRNA from 1 species